rnacentral:misc_RNA from 1 species
AGGGCUUGACAUGCAGGGUAAACCCGUGGAAACACGGGGCUCCUUCGGGAGCCUGCACAGGUGCUGCAUGGCUGUCGUCAGCUCGUGCCGUGAGGUGUUGCCUUAAGUGGCGCAACGAGCGCAACCCCUGUUCCAUGUUGCCAGCGAGUGAUGUCGGGGACUCAUGGGAGACUGCCGGUGCCAAACCGGAGGAAGGUGGGGAUGACGUCUCUAGGAGGGUG